UACGUAGGUGGCAAGCGUUAUCCGGAAUUAUUGGGCGUAAAGAGCGCGCAGGUGGUUGAUUAAGUCUGAUGUGAAAGCCCACGGCUUAACCGUGGAGGGUCAUUGGAAACUGGUCGACUUGAGUGCAGAAGAGGGAAGUGGAAUUCCAUGUGUAGCGGUGAAAUGCGUAGAGAUAUGGAGGAACACCAGUGGCGAAGGCGGCUUCCUGGUCUGUUACUGACACUGAGGCGCGAAAGCGUGGGGAGCAAACAGG
rnacentral:rRNA from 1 species